UAGUAUCAGCGUGUCAGCAGCCGCGGUAAUACGUAGGGUGCAAGCGUUAAUCGGAAUUACUGGGCGUAAAGCGUGCGCAGGCGGUUAUAUAAGUACAGAUGUGAAAUCCCCGGGGCUCAACCUGGGGAACUGCAUUUGUUGACUGUAUAGCUAGAGUACGGUAGGAGGGGAGUGGAAUUCCGCGUGUAGCAGUGAAAUGCGUAGAUAUGCGGAGGAACACCGAUGGCGGAAGGCAAUCCCCUCGGACCUGUACUGACGCUCAUGCACGAAAGCGUGGGGAGCAAACAGGAUUAGAUACCCUGGUAGUCCACGCCCUAAACGAUGUCAACUGGUUGUUGGGUCUUCACUGACUCAGUAACGAAGCUAACGCGU
rnacentral:rRNA from 1 species